ACAAGAUAAUGAUGAGAGAAAUAAAAAGUAGGACGUAAACGUCGCCCUGUUUGAGGAAAUUGUUUGCCAUAGGAGUGAAAUAAGCUCCGACGAGUAGGAGGGCGUGGGGGUCGUGACGCAGCCUCUGGCGCGAGCCUGGGUGAAACGGCCUCCAGUGCAGAUCUUGGUGGUAGUAGCAAAUAUUCAAAUGAGAGCUUUGAAGACCGAAGUGGAGAAAGGUUCCAUGUGAACAGCAGUUGGACAUGGGUUAGUCGAUCCUAAGAGAUAGGGAAAUUCAAAAAUGUCGACAACGCGACAGAAGCCUAAACCAGUCAAUAUACCGUCAGCUCUCCUCUCCAACGAGGAGAAUGAUAGUGUUUUUAACAUGCUCGGACGUGGAUGUACGGUAAGUCAAUUAAUAUCUUUGGAUUCAUAGCAAUCCCCCAUAACUUGAAGUGUGAAAGCUUUUCUCUAAAAUACUUCGAUUGUCAAUAAGCAUGUAGCUGUCCUGAAAUCUUUGAUUUGAUGCCCAUGCAUUCUCUUUAGUUGUCUAUUUUAUCAAAUAACUCUUCUUGCUUGUACCAUAGACCCUUGCUACAGCAGUCGCUCAACUACUGAUCGCUCUUCCCGAAUCGAGAACGAAGUGGAC
rfam:Nematostella vectensis strain CH2 x CH6 NEMVEscaffold_5008_Cont48959, whole genome shotgun sequence.